rnacentral:misc_RNA from 1 species
GGUCCAAAUCCUUAGAGGAUUAGGGCUAGUUUUAGGAGUUUAAUUCUUAAGAAUAUGUUUAAUAGAAUGCAAUCAAAGAUGUAAUAGAAUUGUGAUUACAUCACAUAUUCCAUUUCUUUGUUUGGUUAUACAAGAAAAUUUUGAUGUAAUGAAAUGACAAUCACAUCAUGUAAUCAAUUGCAUUUUGACUAAUGUAAUGACGAUUACAUGUAAAAUGCAGUAUCAUAAUUACUUGUUUUACUUUGUUUCUUUCGUUGUCCUGAUUAGCCCUAAACCUUGAAUCGAAAUUAGUGGUUUUGGCCCAAAUUAAACCGCUGGCCAAGUUUAGUCCUGGCCACACUCUGGUUUUGGGUUGGAGCUGAUCGUUUCAAUCCAUGGAGAGGAUGAACCUAAACCUCACCGUAGGGUCCAGUUUGGUCCUGGUUCCAAUUUGAGUUCAAUUGGACUGGUUUUGGGUCCAAUUGGUUGGGGCUGGUCUAAUGCUACUAUUACUUGACCACCAGUCACCACAACCACUGCC